AGUGAAUAGAUACCCUGGUAGUCCUGGCCCUAAACGAUGUCCACUAGAUUGUGGCACUUUUAAACGGUGUCAUGGUCGUAGCAAAAGCAUUAAGUGGACCGCCUGGGAAGUACGGUCGCAAGGCUAAAACUCAAAGAAAUUGACGGGGGCUCACACAAGCGGUGGAGCAUGUGGUUCAAUUCGAAGCAACGCGCAGAACCUUACCUGGGCUUGACAUGCUAGGAUUAUCUCUAUGAAAGUAGAGUAGGCCCCGCAAGGGGAACAACUAGCACAGGUGCUGCAUGGCUGUCGUCAGCUCGUGUCGUGAGAUGUCGGGUUAAGUCCCUUAACGAGCGAAACCUUUGCCCUUAGUUACUAACAGGUAAUGCUGAGGACUCUAAGGGGACUGCCGGUGUCAAACCGGAGGAAGGUGGAGAUGACGUCAAGUCCUCAUGGCCUUUAUGCCCAGGGCCACACGCGUGCUACAAUGGCGUGCAUAAAGCGAACCGAGACCGCAAGGUGGAGGAAAA
rnacentral:rRNA from 1 species